ACGUAGGGUGCAAGCGUUAAUCGGAAUUACUGGGCGUAAAGCGUGCGUAGGCGGUUUUUUAAGACAGAUGUGAAAUCCCCGGGCUCAACCUGGGAACUGCAUUUGAAACUGUAUAACUUGAGUACGGCAGAGGGAGAUGGAAUUCCUCGUGUAGCGGUGAAAUGCGUAGAUAUGCGGAGGAACACCGAUGGCGAAGGCAAUCCCCUGGGCCUGUACUGACGCUCAUGCACGAAAGCGUGGGGAGCAAACAG
rnacentral:rRNA from 1 species